rnacentral:rRNA from 1 species
UGAGGAAUAUUGGGCAAUGCCCGAAAGGGUGACCCAGCAACGCCGCGUGGAGGAUGAAGGUCGUAAGAUUGUAAACUCCUGUUAGAGGGGAAGAAUAACUAAGUUUGGAGCUUAGUAUGACUGUACCCUCAGAGAAAGCCCCGGCUAACUACGUGCCAGCAGCCGCGGUAAUACGUAGGGGGCAAGCGUUGUCCGGAUUUACUGGGUGUAAAGGGCGCGCAGGCGGAAUGGAAAGUCAGUGGUGAAAUCCUACAGCUUAACUGUAGAACUGCCUUUGAUACUUUCAUUCUUGAGUUCGGGAGAGAGAGACGGAAUUCCAGGUGUAGUGGUGAAAUACGUAGAUAUCUGGAAGAACACCAGUUGCGAAGGCGGUCUCUUGGUCCGAUACUGACGCUGAGGCGCGAAAGCGUGGGGGAGCAAACAGGAUUAGAAACCCUGGUAG